GGGUUUUGGUAGAUUCAACAUUGUUUCAUUGUUGAUGUUGUUGCUUGAAUCCAUGGUAAUGUUGAUUGAUUAAAGAGAAAUAACAAUAUCAAUUUUUGUUUCAUGUUAGGAGUAAGAUUUAUUGUAAGAGCAGUAUUUUUAUUGUCAAGUACUAUUUUUUUUCUUAUUUUUUUUAAAUAUUGGGUGUUUAAAUCUUUUGAAUUUUGAUAAAGGUAUGAGGUGAA
rnacentral:lncRNA from 1 species